rnacentral:misc_RNA from 1 species
UAAAUCAAACCUAACUAGAAACGCCUUAUUACUUCGCAACAAAAAUACUGCCAGUACAAUGGCUUCUAUAGAGGAGCGCUUUCAAGCCGCCGUCAAUGUGAUCAAAGGGUUGCCCAAAAAUGGCCCAUAUCAACCUAGCACCGCCAUGAUGCUCAAAUUUUACGGUUACUAUAAGCAAGCAACAGAAGGUCCGUGUCAUCAAAAGCGUCCUGGUUUUUGGGAUGUUGUUGGCAAAGCGAAAUGGGAUGCCUGGAAUGAUAAUCGACACUUAGAGAAACAUCAAGCAAUGGAGCGUUACGUGAAUAAUUUGCGUGAAAUAAUUGAAACGAUGUCAUUUACCGAAAACGUACAAAACUUUGUUGGUAGUAUUAGUGGUUUGGACAAUAUAAAUUUAGAGGAACUGGAUAAGGUUGCUCCAGGUAUGCGAGAACUUGCAGAGUCGCACCCGAAUUCACCAUUCAAUUCGAGAACGAAUAGUCCACAACAUGGUGUGAGUUUAAAUGGUAGCAGUGGUGAAGAAGAUGAGCUUCCCACUAAUUCCACGAUAAACGGUUCCGUCUCACGCCACAAUCAUCUCACUGAUAAUAAUUUAACAAAUGGCACCAGUGAACGCGAUGGCAUUAACGCCCCACAAACAAAUUCUACAGUUUCUGCAAUGCCAGAAAUACCUGUGACACACUCAAGCUAUGCUAUGUCUAACGGCACUGUGGAUCAGUCUGAUGAUGAAUAUGGUGAUCCGGUGAAUAUGAAUAUAGAUAUUACUGAAACAAUGCAGCAUAAUUCUGAAAUGCUUAAGCAAAUUCAAGCCACAGUGCUGCGCAUGAAUGCAGAUUUAGUAGCAGUAAAUCAACGCAUGAAUAGCUUGGAAAAAUUGUUGAACGACAUGCGUACAACUGCAGCUCAGAAAACUACAAACCAAAACAGAACCCGUGGAUACCCGAAAUGGUGGCCGUUUGCUGAUAUUUCACCGCUUUGGUUUACGUUACUAGUGUUAUGGCCUUUCGUGAUUGGAAGGUUAUCACGAGCAGUGACAGCACCACGUCGAAAGUAAAAUCAUGCGAAAUCGCAGGGUAGAAUAUGUCACAGUAGUAAUAUAACAAAUGUACAUUGACGUUACUGGAUGAAGGUUAACAUUUGUUGGUAAAGAACGAUCUGAUACUUUCACAGCUAUAUUACUUUUUUUACUUUUGCGCAAAAUAAAGUACAGAAUAGAUACUUUAUAUGCGAAUUUAAAUAUGUAAUAAGAAAGUGAAACAGCGAUAUAUAAAACUGGGAUCAGGUUUUGUGAUGCAUUGUAGUAUAACAUUUAUUUUUACAAGUAUAUGUUUAUAUUUUGUAUUUUUGCAGCUUAUUCAAUUGUUUUUUUUUUUUUUAAUGUAGAUCCAAAUGUACCUUUAUUCAACAUUCCCUAGUGAAAUAGGUAGUGCUCAAAACUAUCGGAAAUAAUCUUUAAUAUAAGCAUACUGAAAAUGUAAUAAUAUUCUUUAUAUUCGUUUUGGUUACCAUCGUUUUUAAUUUGGUUGUUAGUUCUAUUGAAUAUGUAUUGCUUAAUGUUUAUAUAUGAAUACAAGGUGAUUUCCAAAGUAAA